AGAGUUUGAUCAUGGCUCAGAUUGAACGCUGGCGGCAGGCCUAACACAUGCAAGUCGAACGGUAACAGAAAGCAGCUUGCUGCUUUGCUGACGAGUGGCGGACGGGUGAGUAAUGUCUGGGAAACUGCCUGAUGGAGGGGGAUAACUACUGGAAACGGUAGCUAAUACCGCAUAAUGUCGCAAGACCAAAGAGGGGGACCUUCGGGCCUCUUGCCAUCGGAUGUGCCCAGAUGGGAUUAGCUUGUUGGUGGGGUAACGGCUCACCAAGGCGACGAUCCCUAGCUGGUCUGAGAGGAUGACCAGCCACACUGGAACUGAGACACGGUCCAGACUCCUACGGGAGGCAGCAGUGGGGAAUAUUGCACAAUGGGCGCAAGCCUGAUGCAGCCAUGCCGCGUGUAUGAAGAAGGCCUUCGGGUUGUAAAGUACUUUCAGCGGGGAGGAAGGGAGUAAAGUUAAUACCUUUGCUCAUUGACGUUACCCGCAGAAGAAGCACCGGCUAACUCCGUGCCAGCAGCCGCGGUAAUACGGAGGGUGCAAGCGUUAAUCGGAAUUACUGGGCGUAAAGCGCACGCAGGCGGUUUGUUAAGUCAGAUGUGAAAUCCCCGGGCUCAACCUGGGAACUGCAUCUGAUACUGGCAAGCUUGAGUCUCGUAGAGGGGGGUAGAAUUCCAGGUGUAGCGGUGAAAUGCGUAGAGAUCUGGAGGAAUACCGGUGGCGAAGGCGGCCCCCUGGACGAAGACUGACGCUCAGGUGCGAAAGCGUGGGGAGCAAACAGGAUUAGAUACCCUGGUAGUCCACGCCGUAAACGAUGUCGACUUGGAGGUUGUGCCCUUGAGGCGUGGCUUCCGGAGCUAACGCGUUAAGUCGACCGCCUGGGGAGUACGGCCGCAAGGUUAAAACUCAAAUGAAUUGACGGGGGCCCGCACAAGCGGUGGAGCAUGUGGUUUAAUUCGAUGCAACGCGAAGAACCUUACCUGGUCUUGACAUCCACAGAACUUUCCAGAGAUGGAUUGGUGCCUUCGGGAACUGUGAGACAGGUGCUGCAUGGCUGUCGUCAGCUCGUGUUGUGAAAUGUUGGGUUAAGUCCCGCAACGAGCGCAACCCUUAUCCUUUGUUGCCAGCGGUCCGGCCGGGAACUCAAAGGAGACUGCCAGUGAUAAACUGGAGGAAGGUGGGGAUGACGUCAAGUCAUCAUGGCCCUUACGACCAGGGCUACACACGUGCUACAAUGGCGCAUACAAAGAGAAGCGACCUCGCGAGAGCAAGCGGACCUCAUAAAGUGCGUCGUAGUCCGGAUUGGAGUCUGCAACUCGACUCCAUGAAGUCGGAAUCGCUAGUAAUCGUGGAUCAGAAUGCCACGGUGAAUACGUUCCCGGGCCUUGUACACACCGCCCGUCACACCAUGGGAGUGGGUUGCAAAAGAAGUAGGUAGCUUAACCUUCGGGAGGGCGCUUACCACUUUGUGAUUCAUGACUGGGGUGAAGUCGUAACAAGGUAACCGUAGGGGAACCUGCGGUUG
rnacentral:rRNA from 1 species